GCCUGGGUGGCUCAGUCGGUUGAGCGUCUGACCGGCUCAGGUCAUGAUCUCACACUGCGUGGGUUCGAGCCCCGCAUUGGGCU
rnacentral:tRNA from 1 species